rnacentral:sRNA from 1 species
AUAAGGACCGAAUACACACGUAUCUUAUUCUUUGCAGUGAUUUUAUAUAGAUAGUUUUAAAUUCUUUGAAUUUUAAAACUUUAAUGUAACAUAUGUGCAAUAAAUGUAAAAUGGAGUACACUGUUCGCUGUCAGUGAAGUAUAUCUUCAAUUCAUUUUCAACGACACCACAUAUACUUUUCACAUUAUGUGGGCGAAAAUUUAGGAAAUAGAUCCUCGGCAUAUUUUAAGCAAAAGAAAAGUGAGAUGGUUUUUACAACAUUCGAGACGAAAAAACAUAAGGGAGCGGUGAACGUUGAUUAUUUGCUGAAUAUAUAAACACUCAAACAAGGUUUUAUCAAGAAGAUGGAUUAAGUAAAAACAUGGCAGAAAUCGUGUAUUACAGCAUUUGAAGCGUCUAGCGCCGGCCAUGCAUCUCUUACUCUGAUAUUGUAUUUUGCUGUUUUUGAACUGACGAACUAGACUUGAAACAGUUCGAAACUGAAAAUCGAGAGGACCAGUUUACAACUUAAGGAGCACGAAAAUAAGAAUCUUCUGCAGAUGUCAUAUCCUCUAAAACGAUUCACAGAACUUGAGAACUCCAACGCCGCUGAUUAAACAUAUAAAACAUAUUCAGAAAUAUUCAACAGCAACCCCAACUUCUCAGGCCUUAAGUUUCUCUGCCAGAAAGGCCCGAGAAGUUGCGAUGUGAUUCAGCAGUUUAGUUGCAAUCGCCAUCCACCAAUGGGAUAACUCAAAUGUAGGAAUUGAAAACUAAUACGCAGCGGUAAAUUUUCUUUCGUGUUGGAAGUACACAUGUAAGAAAAAAAAAACAUUCCAAAAAUUACUAAAAUGAUACUCGUGUACUUAUUCGCUGGUCUGUGACGUUUGUGAACCUUACGUCUGAACUGUACGUAUAUAUAGACUCUUUGCAGUUGAAUAAUGGCAGGGUUAAAAGGACUCGGUGCAAACUUUAAUUGUGAAUUAUAUCUACCCUGAAAUGAGAAUUAACACAGUCGGCAAUUCUUUUUUAAACAAUUUCUGAUUUUGUUUUAGUUUUUCACACAUCAUCAAAUUUGAAUGUUGAGUGAAUUCGAAUUGAGGGCAACAUUGAUUAAGUUCCGCUUUGUGACAGGGGUUCACCAUUAUCUCUGUUACCCUGAACCCCGGUCAUCAUUUGUAAAUUAUAACCCUUACUAUUAUGUAUACAUUGAUAUUGAAAACCUUACUAAUUUGAAUAAUUAAAAUUGAUUCUGUACACUUUGUAUGUCCGACUGUAUUUAAUUCACUUGUAUAACUUUUGAGAUAUUUGUCUCUUGGAAUAAAAAACUUGAACUUG